UGCCGUGAGCAGUGCUUUUGUCAGAGUCGUGGAAAAUUCACUUAAGAAAGCAAAACAAGGAAAUGAGAUGAGCGUUUUUCCUUUUGACCCUCUCAACUAUCCGGUCACAUUGUACCUAUUGGCUUCAAGUCAAUUUACA
rnacentral:lncRNA from 1 species